CUCUAGUAGAAACUGGUGAAACCAUCAGCCAGCUGUUGGUAACCAACUUAAAUAACUCUGGGCGAGAACCAUGAAGGAUUAUUAGGACAACUGUAGAAAAGCCAAAUGGAAGCCAAAUGGAAGAGUCAGAUCCAAGCAUUGAAGAGGGAAGCAAUCAUCAGACAGAAGCAAAAUGAGAAGUUUUGAAUUCCAACCAGAGUCGAGCAGAUAUGAAUCUGAAGUCAGGGGAGGCAGCAGGUCAGGAAUCCAAAAUGUCCUGCAAAUUGGGGCUCAAAAAAGAGAUGUCUGAAGUCAGCAGAGAGCUGGAAGGAUUUAAGUCCAUAGUUUUAGGGAAGGCUGGAGAGAUCAAUAGAAUCUUGAAGGUCACGGCAGGUUCAGAAUCCAAUAGCUUUGAGAAUCCGGAGCAGUAGCAUUCAUGAGUAGAAACAGUAAAGAGGCUCUGAGCCCAAGUCAGUGAGUGGCUUUCUCUGCUCAUGUUGUUCUCUCCUCACUGUUGGCUACGUGUGGCCCUGAGACCACAGGUGUGUGAUCACUGACAGGAUGGUUAGAGACAGAAAGAUGCCUUGUGCCCCUGAUUGAAGUAAGGGCAGAAAUGUGAUAAUUACUGGAAGCUCUUCAACAUUAAAAGUGCCCAGCAGA